rnacentral:piRNA from 1 species
UGACACAUCACGCCCUCUGCACCCU